AUUAUUUCUUCUUUCUAAAUGUCAGUUUCCUUGUUUAUACCAUAUGAACAAAGAGAGCCUACUAGACAUGGUUGAAGUGAAGAUUAAAUGAGAUCUCUAAAAAACUAAGUGCAGUGUCAGGUAAAUGUGAAGGGCCCAAUUUAAAUUGUGGUUACUGUUACUAUUUUGUCAUUUAAUCCUCAAAACUUUUUGUGAAAAAAGAAGAAAGCCUGUUGUUUUGGUUGCCCCACCCCAUUUUACAAGUGAGGGAAGUGGGGUUUGAGUCAGUAAUUUCAUAUCUCAUUUUCUUCCAUUCAUAUCUGGAUUCAGAAAGAAAAAUAUUGUGACAUGUAAGCUCCUAAUUUGAGGCAGCAAUUCCAGUAAAGUUUGUUGUCUAGACAAAAUGGGUUACAAACCCUAGCUUUUCAAGAAUUGAUUGUUACACAUUGACCAUAAUAUUGUUCUUCCCACUGACAACCAUCUUAUUAUUCAGUAAAAGGUAAUAUAUGAGAGUGUGUGUAAAACAGCCAUAACUCUAGAAAACCACUCAGGAGGCUAGUUUAAGAGUGCUCAGUCCUAUUCAAUCCACUAUAAUUAAGAGUGUUAGGUGGUGGUGGUGGGUUUUUUUUUUUGUUUUUUUUUUUUUUUCUUUAUAAACCAAGGAUAAGUGUGAUAGAGUAACAUUCCACUCUCCAUUUCUUGGUUCCAGGGCACUACUGUAUUGCAUUACUGUCUUUAGUUUUUUUCAAUGGCAAGGAGUUUCCCAAUCCAGAGAAGUUUGAUCCAGGACACUUUUUGGAUAAAAAUAGCAGCUUCAGAGCCAUUUUCUUUAGAGACAUUAUUUGGCAACUAUUAUUUCAUCUUUUGAAGGACGUUUUUUGAAAGGUCCCAGGAAUUCGGAUGUGGACAUCUUUGGGGGCCAUUAUUACAACUACCUCAGAAGGAGAAAGGACCCUCUGAUCUACUUCACCUCCCACAUGCCGUCGCUGACCCUCCCAAGCUAAGUUACAUGACUCUGCUUAGUGGUCCCAAGUGCUUACACCCACCAAUUUACCCCCAAUGUUUUGCUUGCUCAUUUGUAGUUUUCAGGAUAGAGACUGCCUUUUUCGCUCUUGACUGUCUGUCACUUCACCAGAAUGUAAGCGCCCCAUGGACAGGAGCCUUUGUUGGUUUUAUUCUAGAUCAAAAAUAAUAAUAGUAGGGGUGCCUGGGUGGCUCAGUGGGUU